AGUCGACGAUAGAUAGAAGCUUGCUUUUAUCGAAAGUGGCGCACGGGUGCGUAACGCGUAUGCAACCUACCUUGAUCAGGGGGAUAGCCUCUCGAAAGAGAGAUUAACACCGCAUAACAUUAUUGAGUGGCAUCAUUUAAUAAUCAAAUAUUUAUAGGAUCGAGAUGGGCAUGCGUGACAUUAGCUAGUUGGCGGGGUAACGGCCCACCAAGGCUACGAUGUCUAGGGGAUCUGAGAGGAUGACCCCCCACACUGGUACUGAGACACGGACCAGACUCCUACGGGAGGCAGCAGUAAGGAAUAUUGGUCAAUGGGGGCAACCCUGAACCAGCCAUGCCGCGUGCAGGAAGACGGCCCUACGGGUUGUAAACUGCUUUUAUACGGGAAUAAACCUUACUACGUGUAGUGAGUUGAAUGUACCGUAGGAAUAAGGAUCGGCUAACUCCGUGCCAGCAGCCGCGGUAAUACGGAGGAUCCAAGCGUUAUCCGGAUUUAUUGGGUUUAAAGGGUGCGUAGGCGGCCUAUUAAGUCAGGGGUGAAAGACGGUGGCUCAACCAUCGCAGUGCCUUUGAUACUGAUAGGCUUGAAUACACUAGAGGUAGGCGGAAUGUGACAAGUAGCGGUGAAAUGCAUAGAUAUGUCACAGAACACCGAUUGCGAAGGCAGCUUACUAUGGUGUCAUUGACGCUGAGGCACGAAAGCGUGGGGA
rnacentral:rRNA from 1 species